AUCCCGCUGCGACCGGCGCUCCCCGGGGCAGGUGGCUGCAUAGUCUUGGCGGAGUAUUUUAAUAAGCGGAAAACCUACUUUGCUCACGAUGCCCUUCAGCAGUGCACAGUUGGGGAUAUUGUGCUUCUCAGAGCUUUACCUGUUCCACGAGCAAAGCAUGUGAAACAUGAACUGGCUGAGAUCGUUUUCAAAGUUGGAAAAGUCAUAGAUCCAGUGACAGGAAAGCCCUGUGCUGGAACUACCUACCUGGAGAGUCCGUUGAGUUCGGAAACCACCCAGCUAAGCAAAAAUCUGGAAGAACUCAAUAUCUCUUCAGCACAGUGAAGCGGGAGUGGAAGAAGGAUCUAAAGGGAAAAACUGACAUGUUUAUGUUAUGGAAAAAGAAAUUUUUCUAAGUUUCAUCACAAACUGUGUCCAGUUUCUCUGUGGUGUUUAUGAAAUAGCUAAAAGCAAAUGAAGUAAAGGGCAUACUAUGGUUUUUCACAAAGGUUUAUGGUCGUGUUUCAAAUUUUCAUCAUUUCAGUGAACAUACUUCCACGUUACAUUAAGUGUGCCUAGCAGUCUGUUGCAUUUUGUAAGCUCACAGUUUUUUGUUUUGAGAUGGAAUCUCACUCUGUCACCCAGGCUGGAGUGCAGUGGUGCAAUCUUGGCUCACUGCAAGCUCCGCCUCCCGGGUUCACGCCGUUCUCCUGCCUCAGCCUCCCGAGUAGCUGGGACUACAGGCGCCUGCCACCAUGCCCAGCUAAUUUUUUUUUUUUUUUUUUUGGUAUUUUUAGUAGAGACGGGGUUUCACCGUGUUAGCCAGGAUGGUCUUGAUCUCCUGACCUCGUGAUCUGCCUGCCUUGGCCUCUCAGAGUGCUGGGAUUACAGGCGUGAGCCACUGUGCUUAGCAAGCUCACUGUUUUAGAAGGUUUUAUUUUUGUCUUUUGAGACAGGGUUUUGCUUUGUUGUGGGGGCUGGAGUGCAGUGGUAUGAUCUUGGCUCACUGCAGCCUUGACCUCCCUGGCUCUAGCAUCUUUCCACCCCAGCCUUCUGAGUAGCUGGGAACACAGGAGCGUACCACUACACUUGGCUGAUUUUUUGUAAAUUUUGUAGAGACAGGGUCUCCCUGUGUUGCCCAGGUUGGUCUCGGACUCCUGGGAGCAAUCUGCCCAUCUUGGCCUAACAGUGCUGGGAUUACAGGCCUGAGCCACUGUGCCCAGCCGGUUUCCUUUAUUUCAUUCAAAGGAAUUUUGAAUUUAUCUUAGAACCUUUAUUUUGAAGGAAGAAAGUCUUUUUUUUUUUUGAGCUGGAGUUUCACUCUUGUUGCCCAGGCUGGAGUGCAAUGGCAUGAUCUCAGCCCACCACGACCUCCGCCUCCCAGGUUCAAGUGAUUCUGCUUCAGCCUCCUGAGUAGCUAGGAUUACAGGCAUGUGCCACCACGCCCAGCUAAUUUUGUAUUUUUAGUAGGGAUGGGGUUUCUCCAUGUUUGUCAGGCUAGUCUUGAACUCCGGACCUCAGGUGAUCCGCCCGCCUGGGCCUCUCAAAGUGCUUGGAUUACAGGCAUGAGCCACUGCAUGUAAUGACCAGCCACUGGUCAGAAUUCUUUCAAUCAAGCUGUGUUAAUAAGAAUAUUGAUGUGUGGAAAAUAAAAUUUUACAAUUCUGU
rnacentral:lncRNA from 10 species